ensembl:lncRNA
CACGGGAUACCACAUCACAGGAAUGCACGUCACACGGGAAACCACGUCAGACAGGAAACCACGUCACACAGAAACCACGCACAGGAAACCACGUCACACGGGAAACCACGUCACACAGGAAACCACGUCAGACAGGAAACCACGUCACGGGAAACCACGUCACACACAGGAAACCAGGUUAGACGGGAAACCACGUCACAGGAAACCACGUCACACUGGGAACCACGUCAGCGACAGGAAACCACGUCAC